rnacentral:tRNA from 1 species
UCGGAUGUAGCUCAGCUGGUAGAGCAGCGGUCUCCAAAACCGCAGGUCGCAGGUUCGAACCCUGCCGUCCGGGCCA